rnacentral:rRNA from 1 species
CAAUAGCGUAUAUUAAAGUUGUUGCAGUUAAAAAGCUCGUAGUUGGAUUUCUGGUGGGAGCGAUCGGUCUGGCGCUUAGCGCGAGUACUUGCAUCGUCUCCGGCCAUCCUUGGGGAGAGUCUGUCUGGCAUUAAGUUGUCGGGCAGAGGAUCCUCAUCGUUUACUGUGAAAAAAUUAGAGUGUUCAAAGCAGGCUUAUGCCGUUGAAUAUAUUAGCAUGGAAUAAUAAGAUAGGACUUUGGUACUAUUUUGUUGGUUUGCGCACCAAAGUAAUGAUUAAUAGGGACAGUUGGGGGUACUCGUAUUCCGUUGUCAGAGGUGAAAUUCUUGGAUUUACGGAAGACGAACUACUGCGAAAGCAUUUACCAAGGAUGUUUUCAUUAA